UCCAAUUACGAAGAAAAAACAAGAAAAAACAGUUCAUAUAAAUCAAUCAUUUGCAAAUAAUGGCACUACAUAAUUCUUCUUCAUUAUGGACAAAGAUACGGUUGGUGCCGAUGCAUAACAUUGAAACCUUCUCAAGAAAACAGUUGUCAAUGGACGGGUAGAGUGGUACAGAAAUUCAUUGAGAUGCAUGCUAGACUCAUCUAACGGACGGGCCGAGUUGAUAUGUGGCAACAAAAUUCGAAAGCUGUCUCGAUAAUUCUUGAGAGGCGCAAAUUGAAAUUCGCCAACCUAUUGAACAAAUUUUGAUCCAGUUAAGCAUGGGACAGCUCCCAUUCUUUGGAGUUUUAGUACGGCUGGCUCUAAUGGGAUCCAGGAUCCAAGAUUUUUUCCAGUAGAAGUGUCGUUUGUGGAUGAAUAAUAGCCUUGCUUCCCAGAGAGUACUGCGUGUGGCUUGGAUCCAAGAUGGAAGUAACCCGGGGACGCGAUUUGAAACUGCGUGUGGAAAAAACACCAAAUGCGGUUCCUAACCGCGUAUAAAAGAAUAUUUCACGGGAAUAUUCUUUUGCACGCGGUUGCAAACAGCAUGUCACGCUGAGUGAAACUGCGUAUUUUUCGUUGAUACCCGAUAGAGAGAAGAAAUCAUUUUUCUUCUUCGUUCUUCUUUCUUAUUCUUUUUUUCAUUCUCUUCUCUGUUUGUCUGCUAAGAGGCCGUGAGAGCUAAUCGAUUGAAUCAAUUGUUUACCGUGAUGCUUUUGAUGAAGAUUGAUGUCGCUGCUGUUGAUUGGGAUUUGGAGGAAGCCGAGAGUUAGAGUUUGAGAAAUAAAAUGAGUUAGGGUUUCGAAUUCGUGAUGAUUAAAAAGAGAUUAAAGGUUGGGUUUUGAAGAACUGGUAGUGAAAAAGAAGAGUAUGAACCUGAUUUGUAGAUUUAGUUGUUGAGAAGGACCAUAAUUGCAGAAUCGAAGAAUUAUGGCUUUGUCUUGUAUUUGAGAUUAAGAAGUAAAUUAGGGAAUUAAGGUUUGGUUGAACAGUAAAUCGAAGAAGUAAACAGAAUUAUUAGAUGGGUUUAGUCGAUUUGAGAACUUGAAUUAAUGGUUGAACAGAUUCAAGGAUUUGGGGAUUAUUUAGGGUCUUCACUGUUAAUGUUCUUGGAAUUGUUCAGAGGAGGUAGGAAGAGGCAUUAUCAGUUAGGAUUCUCAAAUGAAGAGCUAGAGUUUAUGGAUUGAAAUUACAAAUGAAGAAGCUUCUAAGAUUUGUAUGAGGGUCUCUGUGAAUUUAGUUGCGAAUGGAAAUUAUGUAUUGAUGUCGUUGAAGUUCUGGGAUGGAUGGGGAUGGACCUGAAAUGGAACUGUUGUUAAUGGUUAUUUGUGUCUGAGAUUUGGUGGAAAAUGGAAUUGAGUAUUUGGUGUUGUUGUAGUGAGUUUAAGUUAAAUCUAAUUGAACUGUUCUCAUGAAACGCAGUUUCAAAACGCGUACUGCGCAGUUUCAAACCUCGUAUCACCAAGGAAUCUUGAUCCCCAUUGCUCCCCGGCCAUGAAUUUUGGUGACGUGGAUCGAAAACCUUGAAUCUUGGAUUAUAGUUAGACCCGGCCUACUUGGAAAGCCUAACUAGUUUCCGCAUCAUAGCCAAAAUUGACAUGACAGCUGCUAAUAUUCUAUCUAAAGAAGCUCGCGCAAUUGUAACAUCAUGCCAACAGUCACUAAGAUUAGAUACUCACCCACUAUCUAAUAAGAUUCCGACUCAAGUCAUUAGUAUAGUAUGAUCGUCUGAUAUAGCUCUAAGCAGCUAACCUCAGACACUUGAUUUAAUAUAAUUAAUCUUCCUAAUGACAUGGUUAGAUGAUAUUUGGUUGACAUUUCGGCGUCAUUUUUUUUUGUCGUAAAACCAAACGGCAAUAAUUUGAAACUGAAAAUUUUAUGGCAUGUUCCUGUUAUAAAGAUCUACUUUCGGCAUCUAUAAAUUUUAAUUUCAAAUGUUAAUCUUCAAGGUUGAAAUUAUAAGUGGUAAAUGGUUGCCUUGUA